GCAGUCGCCGCGGUAAUACGUAGGGUGCAAGCGUUAAUCGGAAUUACUGGGCGUAAAGCGUGCGCAGGCGGUUCGUUAAGACAGAUGUGAAAUCCCCGGGCUUAACCUGGGAACUGCAUUUGUGACUGGCGGGCUAGAGUAUGGCAGAGGGGGGUAGAAUUCCACGUGUAGCAGUGAAAUGCGUAGAGAUGUGGAGGAAUACCGAUGGCGAAGGCAGCCCCCUGGGCCAAUACUGACGCUCAUGCACGAAAGCGUGGGGAGCAAACAGGAUUAGAGACCCCUGUAGUCCCUGUCUCUUAUAC
rnacentral:rRNA from 1 species